rnacentral:rRNA from 1 species
AACGAACGCUGGCGGCGCGCCUAAUACAUGCAAGUCGAGCGAGAAGACGUAGCAAUACGUUUGUAAAGCGGCGAACGGGUGAGGAAUACAUGGGUAACCUACCCUCGAGUGGGGAAGUAACUAGCCGAAAGGUUAGCUAAUACCGCGUACGCUCCUUGGACUUCGGUUCAGGGAGGGAAAGCGAUACCGUGGGUAUCGCGCUCUUGGAUGGGCUCAUGUCCUAUCAGCUUGUUGGUGAGGUAACGGCUCACCAAGGCUUCGACGGGUAGCUGGUCUGAGAGGA